UCAUUGUAUUAGGAUUUAUAAGAUUCAAGAUUAUCAGAAUGAUAAAACAAAUAGUUUAAAGUGCACGCAUCUAUUCCAAGUUGAUUGAAACUUGUCUCAUUUUAGUUGGCACAAUUAAAAUUUGUCAGAGUGACCAACAUCGAAAGGACACAAUCACGCAAAAUGGCGGCCCCCUAGUAGUGGUCAUUUACCUUUCAUUGAAUUGGCAGUCCAGGUAUAUUUUUAAGUUCAUCAGGAAUUAUAAAAAACUGACGACUUUAAUCACAUAGAGUACAAGCCAACAACAGAAUAUGCUGAUGAAUUGAAAGUUAAAAAUUGCACCCAGGUCGUUAGUAAUACUAUAGGAUCCUAGACAGAUAAUUCGGCAAAAUGAGAUAUUGGAUUUCAAGAUAAAUUACCCAGUGAAGCUCAAAUCAUGUUGUUCCUAUAUAGACUUUUUGACAACCUCAAUGUCAAAAGAUAUUGAAAAUGUGACACCAAACCUGAGAGGAGAGCAAUUUCAGCAGUUUCAAUGCAUGACCAAUUUUGGACAAAUUUUGGUGUCUGAAAUUUUUAAAGGGAAAUAGAAAAAUGGUAACUCCUGUAAAUUUAUUUUAAUUAAAAACUCCUGUAAAUUUUACUUUUAACAUAUUUACUUAUUGCCUCUCUCUGAAUAACUAUAAACAAAAUUAUUAAUUUGUUUAUAGUUAUUCAAUUUAUAAUAUUUACCAAGGAAUACUACUCGUGAAUUGAGUAGGGAGUAAUUCCUUGGUCAAUUUAUUACAUUAUUAUUAUUGAUUUUUUUUUCUUUUUUUUUUUCGAGAAAUGUAUAAAUUUACUCUAAUACUAUGUCCGAGACAUUUAAUCCCUGAUUGUCUGUUUUAACUGAACUUGAUCUUAAAGUGAUUUUUAACAAUUUAAACGAGUUGAAAUUAAGUUUAUCCAAUGGGAGAUGGCUCUCUAAGUGUUUGCUGUGCCUACGACACAAUCACUUUUCAUACAGAGAUUGCUUUGGUGCAGUCACCUGUUGGUCUGUGAUAGGAAAAGGUUCCUAUCACCUUAAAAGGUUGACCACAUGGGAGAAGAAAGAAGAGCGAGUAAGACCUCAACAAGAUUCAAUGGCAAACGAAUUUUCAUUUGCCGCAAUUCUUCAACAAUCAUGGAAGUUUCAGAUUAAAUUUUCACAGGUCCAGGAUGGGAUGUGGAAAGAGCAAGCCAUUGGGGAAAUCAGUCCAGAGACCAUAUUAGAUUCCUAAGAAAAAGACUGCAUUGUUACGACAAUAAAAAACAAAACACGAAAUAGAGCUAGAAAUAGAAAAUAACUUAACCUGACAAUCCCUCUGAGUCCAGGCUUAAGUUUGAUGCAACUCCAUGACGUCCUCUAAAACAUCAAGUUCUGUUAGGACACAGCUAUUUUUCAUUUUUCGCAAAACCAAGAAAAUUAUUUUCUGAUUAACAAUUUGUGGACAAUGAAAUUUAAAUUCUAAGUUCAGAGACUGUAGACACUAAUGAUAUGACCACUUCAACUGUCUUAUUGAUAAUAUCUAGUCAAAUUGUCCAUCAUCAAUUAGGGAGCUCUUGUUCUAAAAAAGCUUAAAAAUUUUGAAUCUAAAAUUCCUCAGAAAUAAUGCAAUUUACAUUUUAAUGUCACUAAUAUUAUUAAUAGUGUGAAUCAGGUAAAUAAUGUAACUAUUAAAUAUUAAGGUUUUACUAAAUGAUCUCUCUAAAUUAUUUUAAAUCUGUGACCAUACAUAACCCAACUAUUUGUACAGAAGAAAUAUGAUAUUGUUACUAGUUGAAACUAGUAAACAUAUUCUUAUCUAUAGUGUCUUUUACUAUUUUUUUUAAU